UAUUCACAAAUGUGCUAUUUAAGUACACUAUAUAAAUAUACUAAAUAGCACUAACACUGAAAUUUAUUUUAAGUGUAAUUAGAUAGUUAACCUAAAUUAAUUUAGUUUACAAUAUAUUAGCAAUAGGUUAAAUUAAUUGUGCUACUUAAGUAUACUUAAAUACACUAAAUAUUAAAUUGAUAUAGUACACAUAUUCAGAAGUGUUUUGCAUUGAAAAAGCAUGCAGCGAUCACAGCGAUUAACAGAUGGAUUUUCAUAACUUGUAGGUGCUUAUGCUAUACUAUAAAUGCACUACUAUCACAUUAAGUAUGUUACUUAAAAGUGUACUUUUGCUAUACAAAAUUGCAAUAUGAUUGUUUUCCACAUUUAUUGUCAAUAAAAAGAAAACAGAUAUUUAAAUAGUUUCAUAAUUUCACAGUAACCAAAAAUAAUUCACUUAACACUGUCUGUGAGUUAAUAUUUAGAACAGGCAUGACAACUGUAUUUUUCUGACUGUUUGCUUUGUAUUGCAUAACAUUUUAUGAAAAAAAAAAAAACAACUUGCAAGCUUGGAGGAUAAGCGAAUAGAAUAGACUUUUGUGCGCCAUCAUUGCAUAUCUGGUUGAUUACGAUUCUCAAAUAUAUUUUAUGCUUUUAAAAAAAACUGACACACAUCACCAUUGAAUAGUUUGUGACACUCUGAGCGGGCUUUAUCCUCAAAUCAAAAGUUUUUAUUUUAUUUUUUAAAUAAGUCGUAGCCAAUCAGACGUCUAUAACAAUUUCGGCCAAUCACAAUUGGGCCACAGUCCGUUACACUGGCGCGAAAUGUAUGAGAAGAUGGCGAACGUCAAGGCAGCAGGAGCUAACGUUAGCGCUCCACCAAGAAAAAAAAAAACACUUUAGAAAGUUCUGAUGACGAAACAGACAUUGAGAUGAAGCGACAAUAUGAAAAAGCAAAAAGACAAAAAAAAGUUGCAAAAGAGAGGAUCCUCACUCAGUUGAAGGAUACACUGAGGAAACCACUCCACUCCACUCCAUGCAGAACCAAUCCAUUACAUAGUGAGGAGGAAGUUGAAUCCGAAACGGUGGACACAAACGUGGAUUUGUUCAAUUACCCAGGGAAUUCUCAAUCAACCAGACAAAAAAAGGUUGGAAAGGAGAGGGUCCUCACUCAGCUGAAGGAUACACUGAGAAAACCACUCCACUCUGAUCCACGCAGAACCAACCCGUUACAUAGUGAGGAGGAAGUUCAAGCCGAAACCGUGGACACAAAUGUGGAUUUGUUCGAUUACCCAGAGAAUUUUCAACCAACCGAUACCUUAGAUGCUGCUGAGGCAAGUGGAGAGAGCGUGUAACAGCCAUUAUUUGUCAGUGGUGAAGUGUUGAAAGCUUUGAAAGGUACAGUAUAAAAUACCUGAAAUGAGUUGUGCUAAGGGAUGCUAUGUGGAUAAUUAUGUCUUAAAUAUACUAUAUAUACAAUAAUACAUUUGUGAUUGUAAUUUUCUAUUGACUUGAUUUGUAUUUAAAGCAGUAAAAAGUGGUUGUACUGUAUUUCAUUUCUUUAGAUAGAUUCUGAGCAUUAAGCAUUUACAAUCUUUGUAAUCAUUCUAAGCAGCCAUCUUUCUUCAUAACUUUUUUAAUAGAAAUCUUUUCGACACCUCUAGAAAUCUCAACUGUGGCGUUUGGCAUCUUGUUCCUACCCCACUUACGAUGUGUUUUUACACGUAUUACCUGUGCUGUGCAUCAGGAGUGGAGCGGUACAUAUAUUCGUAUUGAACCAAUUUGGUACAAGGGUCACGGUUUUGGUGCACGCAUUUACACAGAAAAUACACUGCAAAGCGGAACUAUUGUUAGAUACGCAUGUUCUUUGGGGACACAUAAUAUGUGACGCGCGUCCUAUUCGCUUUGGACUAAUGUCAAACUAGACGCAAAUUUUAAGCAUUUCUUUGUUUGCGUUGAUUACAAUGCUGGAGUGUGUGUGUGCUCGCACGCGCGGUAGAGAGAGAAAGAUAUAGUGUGUUCACUGUAGCACAAGAGAGAUCGAGACAGAGAAGCAAUUUGUCCUCGAGUGUCACAAAUACAGUUCAGUAAGAGACCUUUACUUCAACUAAAUCACCAACGUUAUACUGUAUGCCACAGCCUGAGAGACAGCAGGUGAAUGUGUAUGUGUGUGUCUGAACUCAGUGCGUUUCCCUACUGUCCAUCACAGUGACUCACAGUGGUGUGUGUGUGUGUGUGUAUAUAUAUAUAUAUAUAUACAUAUAUAUAUGUGUGUGUGUGUGUGUGUGUGUGUGUAUUAUGCUAUCUUUGUUUGUAAAUAAACACUUAUCUAU
rnacentral:lncRNA from 1 species